rnacentral:rRNA from 1 species
UUGACGGGACCGCACAAGCGGUGGAUGAUGUGGAUUAAUUCGAUGCAACGCGAAAACCUUACCUACCCUUGACAUGCCUGGAACUUGGUAGAGAUACCUUGGUGCCUUCGGGGAGCCGGGACACAGGUGCUGCAUGGCUGUCGUCAGCUCGUGUCGUGAGAUGUUGGGUUAAGUCCCGCAACGAGCGCAACCCUUAUCCCCAGUUGCCAUCAGGUAAAGCUGGGAACUCUGGGGAGACUGCCGGUGAUAAACCGGAGGAAGGCGGGGAUGACGUCAAGUCCUCAUGGCCCUUACAUCCCGGGCUACACACGUGCUACAAUGGCAGGUACAGAGGGCUGCGAAGCCGCGAGGUGGAGCGAAUCCCAGAAAACCUGUCUCAGUCCGGAUUGAAGUCUGCAACUCGACUUCAUGAAGGCGGAAUCGCUAGUAAUCGCGGAUCAGCACGCCGCGGUGAAUACGUUCCCGGGCCUU